rnacentral:rRNA from 1 species
UUAUGCUAAUAAGAGCGUAUGGUGGAUGCCUUGGCACUAAGAGCCGAUGAAAGACGUGAUAAGCUGCGAAAAGCUUCGGGGAGGAGCAAAUAUCCUAUGAUCCGGAGAUCUCUGAAUGGGGAAACCCACCUGAGCAAACCUCAGGUAUCCUAACGCCAAUACAUAACGUUAGGAGGGGAACCCGGUGAACUGAAACAUCUAAGUAGCCGGAGGAAGAGAAAACAACAUGUGAUUCUGGAAGUAGCGGCGAGCGAAACCGGAAGAGCCCAAACCGGAGUGCGUGCACUCCGGGGUUCGGACCGCGGAAUUGAUCCAAAAGACUUAACAGAACGGCCUGGGAAGGCCGGCCAGAGAGGGUGAAAGCCCCGUAAGUGAAAGGUCGAUUGGCAUGGCGGUAUCCAGAGUAGGUCGAGACACGUGGAACCUUGACUGAAUAUGCGGGGACCACCCCGUAAGGCUAAAUACUCCUUAGUGACCGAUAGCGCAUAGUACUGUGAAGGAAAGGUGAAAAGGACCCCGGGAGGGGAGUGAAAAAGAACCUGAAACCAUAUGUUUAUAAGCUGUGGAACCACUUUAAAUGUGGAACCGCGUACUUUUUGUAGAACGGUCCGGCGAGUUACGCUGGCUGGCGAGGUUAAGUCCUUAAGGGAUGGAGCCGAAGGGAAACCAAGUCUGAAUAGGGCGAAGAGUCAGUCGGAGUAGACCCGAAACCGGGUGACCUAUCCAUGUCCAGGAUGAAGUUGCCGUAAAAGGCAAUGGAGGUCCGAACCCACAUCCGUUGAAAAGGGUGGGGAUGAGGUGUGGAUAGGGGAGAAAUUCCAAUCGAACCCGGAGAUAGCUGGUUCUCCUCGAAAUAGCUUUAGGGCUAGCCUCAUACAAGUCUUGCGGAGGUAGAGCACUGAAUUUCCUAGGGGGCGUCAAAGCUUACCGAAGAAUAUCAAACUCCGAAUGCCGCGUAGAUGGUGUAUGGGAGUCAGACUGCACGAGAUAAGUUGGGUAGUCAAAAGGGAAAGAGCCCAGACCUGCAGCUAAGGUCCCAAAAUGUGUGUUAAGUGGAAAAGGAUGUGGGAUUUCGAAGACAACUAGGAUGUUGGCUCAGAAGCAGCCAUACAUUCAAAGAGUGCGUAAUAGCUCACUAGUCGAGAGGUCCUGCGCCGAAAAUGUCCGGGGCUGAAACACACUACCGAAGCUCAGGAAUGUACUUGUACAUUGGUAGAGGAGCAUUGUAUACGGGAAGAAGCAGUACCGAUAAGGAGCUGUGGACUGUAUAGAAGAGAGAAUGCCGGAAUGAGUAGCGAGAGGAAGGUGAGAAUCCUUCCGGCCGAAUAUCUAAGGUUUCCAGAGUAAAGCUGAUCUGCUCUGGGUAAGUCGGGGCCUAAGGCCAGGUCGAAAGACGUAACCGAUGGACAACAGGUUGAAAUUCCUGUACCGCGAUAUAACAGAACUGUGGGGACACGUGUGGAGAGCACAAGCCGGGAAUGGAAAGCCCGGCGCAAGCAAGGUAGGAGUCGUACUGGCAAAUCCGUACGGCAAUCCGAAGAUGUGAUGCGUACCGAAUUAAGAGUAGGGAAGAGUGUGAGCCAUGCGUCAAGAAAAGCCGCUAUUGUUUGUAUCGCGCCCGUACCGUAAACCGACACAGGUGGAUGAGGAGAGAAUCCUAAGGCCGACGGGAGAAGCAUUGUUAAGGAACUCGGCAAAAUGACUCCGUAACUUCGGGAGAAGGAGUGCCACUGAGAGGUGGCCGCAGAGAAUUGGCCCAAGCAACUGUUUAGCAAAAACACAGGUCUAUGCAAAACCGAAAGGUGAAGUAUAUGGGCUGACGCCUGCCCGGUGCUGGAAGGUUAAGGGGAGAGGUUAGCGCAAGCGAAGCUUUGAACUUAAGCCCCAGUAAACGGCGGCCGUAACUAUAACGGUCCUAAGGUAGCGAAAUUCCUUGUCGGGUAAGUUCCGACCCGCACGAAAGGCGUAAUGAUUUGGGCACUGUCUCAACAAUGCACCCGGUGAAAUUGAAAUACCAGUGAAGAUGCUGGUUACCUGCGCCAGGACGGAAAGACCCC